rnacentral:rRNA from 1 species
CCAUCAUAAGAUGGUUAUCUUGUACUGAAUACAUAGGUGCAAGAGGCGAACCAGGGGAACUGAAACAUCUAAGUACCCUGAGGAAAAGAAAUCAACCGAGAUUCCCUUAGUAGUGGCGAGCGAACGGGGACUAGCCCUUAAGUGGCUUUGAGAUUAGCGGAACGCUCUGGAAAGUGCGGCCAUAGUGGGUGAUAGCCCUGUACGCGAAAAUCUCUUAGUCAUGAAAUCGAGUAGGACGGGGCACGAGAAACCUUGUCUGAAUAUGGGGGGACCAUCCUCCAAGGCUAAAUACUACUGACUGACCGAUAGUGAACUAGUACCGUGAGGGAAAGGCGAAAAGAACCCCGGAGAGGGGAGUGAAAUAGAUCCUGAAACCGUAUGCGUACAAGCAGUGGGAGCAGACUUUGUUCUGUGACUGCGUACCUUUUGUAUAAUGGGUCAGCGACUUAUUUUCAGUGGCAAGCUUAACCGAAUAGGGGAGGCGUAGCGAAAGCGAGUCUUAAUAGGGCGUCUAGUCGCUGGGAAUAGACCCGAAACCGGGCGAUCUAUCCAUGGGCAGGUUGAAGGUUAGGUAACACUGACUGGAGGACCGAACCGACUACCGUUGAAAAGUUAGCGGAUGACCUGUGGAUCGGAGUGAAAGGCUAAUCAAGCUCGGAGAUAGCUGGUUCUCCUCGAAAGCUAUUUAGGUAGCGCCUCAUGUAUCACUGUAGGGGGUAGAGCACUGUUUCGGCUAGGGGGUCAUCCCGACUUACCAAACCGAUGCAAACUCCGAAUACCUACAAGUGCCGAGCAUGGGAGACACACGGCGGGUGCUAACGUCCGUCGUGAAAAGGGAAACAACCCAGACCGUCAGCUAAGGUCCCAAAGUUAUGGUUAAGUGGGAAACGAUGUGGGAAGGCUUAGACAGCUAGGAGGUUGGCUUAGAAGCAGCCACCCUUUAAAGAAAGCGUAAUAGCUCACUAGUCGAGUCGGCCUGCGCGGAAGAUGUAACGGGGCUCAAACCAUACACCGAAGCUACGGGUAUCACGUAAGUGAUGCGGUAGAGGAGCGUUCUGUAAGCCUGUGAAGGUGAGUUGAGAAGCUUGCUGGAGGUAUCAGAAGUGCGAAUGCUGACAUGAGUAACGACAAUGGGUGUGAAAAACACCCACGCCGAAAGACCAAGGUUUCCUGCGCAACGUUAAUCGACGCAGGGUUAGUCGGUCCCUAAGGCGAGGCUGAAAAGCGUAGUCGAUGGAAAACAGGUUAAUAUUCCUGUACUUCUAGUUAUUGCGAUGGAGGGACGGAGAAGGCUAGGCCAGCUUGGCGUUGGUUGUCCAAGUUUAAGGUGGUAGGCUGGAAUCUUAGGUAAAUCCGGGGUUCUAAGGCCGAGAGCUGAUGACGAGUUACCUUUUAGGUGACGAAGUGGUUGAUGCCAUGCUUCCAAGAAAAGCUUCUAAGCUUCAGAUAACUAGGAACCGUACCCCAAACCGACACAGGUGGUUGGGUAGAGAAUACCAAGGCGCUUGAGAGAACUCGGGUGAAGGAACUAGGCAAAAUGGCACCGUAACUUCGGGAGAAGGUGCGCCGGUGAGGGUGAAGGACUUGCUCCGUAAGCUCAUGCCGGUCGAAGAUACCAGGCCGCUGCGACUGUUUAUUAAAAACACAGCACUCUGCAAACACGAAAGUGGACGUAUAGGGUGUGACGCCUGCCCGGUGCCGGAAGGUUAAUUGAUGGGGUUAGCUAACGCGAAGCUCUUGAUCGAAGCCCCGGUAAACGGCGGCCGUAACUAUAACGGUCCUAAGGUAGCGAAAUUCCUUGUCGGGUAAGUUCCGACCUGCACGAAUGGCGUAACGAUGGCGGCGCUG